ensembl:lncRNA
AGACAGGCCUGCUGAAGGAAUUGACUUCUGAAAGAUCUUAUGCCAGCUCUCUAAAGUAUCUAAAAGGAGACAUCAUAAGUGAUAUAAUCUCCAGUUGCCAUACAUGGAGCUGGAUCCCAAAGAAAGAAGAAAACAGUUCUACAAGUAAGUAGAUUUCUUGUUAGUUAAGAUAGUCAUUUUCUAUAUAUAGAUGCUUGUUUCUUGCUUUUGCUACCAUGUUUAGCCUCUGGGACUCUUCUUGGUUGUAUCUAGUUUGUUGUUUUUGGCUCAUUUUGACAUUCUCUGUGUAUUGUAUUUUUAAUAUCAAAUCAUAGAUUUAGCAACAAGCCUGGAAACAGAUUAAGUUUCUUGUCCCAGAGAUGCUGCUCAAAAUGAAGAUGCAGCCCGGGGUGUAAGGCAGAUCUCAGCUUCGGUGUCUUUGGGGAGUCUGGCUGCUAGUGAGGUGUGAACUUUCAUUGAUCUUUGGGAAUUGUUAAUGUCAUACCUAGUUAGAGCGUUUAUGGGCCAACCCUAGUUAAGUUGCCGACCACAAAACCACAGAGAGUAAGUCCUAGACUUGUGAUUACAAAAGGAAAACGUGAAUGUUUCUGAAGACUGUAGCUAACUAGCAUCUGCCUCAAACCAACAAUAAAUCUUUAACCAUCUGUAUGACAACUCAGUCUAUUUUGUGGGAAGAAGAGGUAUGUAUACUUCAGAAGGUGUGCUUGCAUCUUCCUUUUUUGAGUUUAAAGGAUAAGUUACUUUAAUUGAUGUAUCGUCCAGCCAGUUUAGAGCAAGUGAAUAACUUUCAAAGUAGAAAGCAGUUUCAGCUACGGAGAAUAGACGAUAAUGUCAGUGGAAGUUUUUCCCCCUUAAAGUGGUUGAAAGCGUAUCAUAGCAGAUGUUUUCUGUGUUUGGAUUGUUUUCCCAUGAAACCCAUCAAUGAUGUUUGCACAUGAUGGUUUAGUUCCCUAGGUCAGGAGAUCAUGAGCAAACUUAUCUGAUCCCAUAUAUUGGAGGUUAGAAAUCUUCUUUGUUGACUUUGCACAGUGGCAACUAUUUCGAAAGAAAUAAUCUUUGUCUUAGUAGGAUAAAUUGAAGUUGUAAUCAGGUCAGCAAGAAAUUAACAUAAAGCCCAAGCAAAGCAAACUUGGUCCUUGUUUCUCUGUGUUAACACGGAACAUUGUAUUUAUUAUGUCCAUCAAAAUAUAGGAGGUCUGGGGCCAGCUGGUGGCGUAGUGGUUGAAUUCGCAUGCUCCGAUUCAGUGGCCUGGGGUUCUUGGGUUCGGAUCCCGGGCGUAGACCACUCAUCAAGCCAUGCUGUGGUGGCAUCUCACGUACAAAAUAGAGGAGGAUUGGCACAGAUGUUAGCUCAGUGACAGUUUUCCUCCAGUAAAAAGAGGGAGAUUGGCAACGGAUGUUAGCUCAGGGCCAGUCUUCCUCAGCAAGAAAAAAAACAUAGGAGGGCUGGUUUAGACUGAAAAUAUUGUGAACUCUUCUUUGUGAAAGAAAUCUCCAAGAGUUUCCUGAGAAGGCAGUUCAUCGUCUCUAAGCCUCUUGCCUUUCCUUCAACUGUGGGUUUCCUGGCCAGCACGUAACAGCAUCGUGUGAAGCUACAUUAAAUUAGAGGACACUCAGGGGUGAUAUUAAUAGCCUGUAUUGACAUUUUUUCAUGGCUUAAGGAGC